GACGAACGCUGGCGGCGUGCUUAACACAUGCAAGUCGAACGGAAAGGCCCUGCUUUUGUGGGGUGCUCGAGUGGCGAACGGGUGAGUAACACGUGAGUAACCUGCCCUUGACUUUGGGAUAACUUCAGGAAACUGGGGCUAAUACCGGAUAGGAGCUCCUGCUGCAUGGUGGGGGUUGGAAAGUUUCGGCGGUUGGGGAUGGACUCGCGGCUUAUCAGCUUGUUGGUGGGGUAGUGGCUUACCAAGGCUUUGACGGGUAGCCGGCCUGAGAGGGUGACCGGCCAGAUGGGGACUGAGAUACGCACCAGAGUCCUACGGGAGGCAGCAGUGGGGAAUAUGGCACAAUGGGCGGAAGCCUGAUGCAGCAACGCCGCGGGCGGGAUGACGGCCUUCGGGUUGUAAACCGCUUUCGCCUGUGACGAAGCGUGAGUGACGGUAAUGGGUAAAGAAGCACCGGCUAACUACGUG
rnacentral:rRNA from 1 species